UUGAGCUUGAGCUAGCUUGAAUAAAGGCUCUUUGCUUUUGCAUCGGUGUUGGCUCCUUGGUGGUCUUCUGGGAUUCACAACUUUGGGCACAACAUAUUUAUUUAUUCAGCGUCCAUAGAUACUUGGGAUGUUUCCAUCUUCGGUUAGUAAGAAUAGUGCUGCUAUGAACAUUGGUGUCCAAACAUCUGAGUCCCUGCUUUUAAUUCUUUGGGGUAUACCAAAAAAUGGAAUUGCUAGAUUAUAUGGUAAUUAUACAUUUAACUUGGAGGAACCUCCAAAAUUUUUCACAGAGGCUGUACCCAUUUUACAUUUGUGACAGCAAUGCACAAGGGUUCCAAUUUCUUCACAGCCUCACCAACAUUUGUUAUUUUCCACUUUUUUUUAAAUGACAGCUAUCCUAAUGCACAGUGUUAAAUCCAUUUCUUUGGCUGAUUUCCUAGAAUCACCAUAUGAAUGACAAACUGGCAAAUUACAGGAAAGAGUUUCAUGACAAUGUAUGGGAUUUGGGAUUUUCCCGGGAGGUAGAGCAGGGCAGAAUGGAAUUCUUUGUUACUUCCCGAAGAAGCCUGAAGUCAAAACAUAUCCGAAUCUCCAAGUUGUAGACCAUUUCUUAGCACUUACAAAGAAGAGAAAAGAAAGAAAAAUAAAAGCUCAUCUGUCAAGUGUUCCAGUUGUGAAUUAUCCCUGAUGAGAUGAUCUCGCUGUCCUGUGCGCCUUUGCUAACACAGCUGGCAGCUGCAUCUGGGAAGGUCUCUCCCUGUGCACUACGUGAAACCUGAAUCUAGACGGGGGAGAAUUCUUGACUCCGAUUGAGAAAGAAUUCUUGAACAGGUUGGACGACCGUCGGUAAGAGAGGAAUUCAUUAAAGCAGGUGAAACAAAAAUAAAUGACUCAGAUUGUUCAAGCCCUGCAGAACUGCAUGUAACUCCCAACGGCGGUUGUUUUCUUCGGGAAGCAUAGAGAGCAGCCAAACACCACUUGUCUGCCAGCUGUCUUUAUUGGACAUGCCGUUUCAACUCUGUCAACAGUUUCUGUUUUUCUUGAAAAACAGUUUCAUUUAUCUCUUUUGGUGGCGAAACAAAUUAAGAUGACACUCUUAAAAAGGACAGAAUGUAGAAGUGACUGAGGCAAAGUAGCGGGUCCUGAGGUUCAAGAGCUGUUAACGGGAGAGUUGUCUUUGUUGAAAACAUGAUUGAGAUGCCCUGUAUGUGUUUUGUUUUGUGUAAGUGACAAGAAAUUGGUAGUAAAGAUGAAUAUGGCUCAACUCAAUUUCCAUUAUUUGUUGAUAAUUUCCUUAGGAUGUAUGAAUAUUAGGAGCCUAUUCACGGUAGUGGGGGCAGGUCAACACCCGUAUCACCACCAUGGCAUAAAACUACA